rnacentral:lncRNA from 1 species
GGGGGGUGGUCAGGGGCCCGCCCCCCCUUUUCGGGGAAAAAAUUUGUUACUUAUAUAGGGAAUCACUGAAGCGCGACUGGAGCAGGCCCCCUCUUAGGCAGUCAGUGGGCCCCCACUUAUGAAAAUUUCUGGAUCCGCCACUGGUAUAUUUGAUUUAUAAUUUAACUUCUUUAUAAAGUUUUUGACUGUUUUAGUUAUUGCAUUUGUUUAUUUGCCUUACAUAAAAC